rnacentral:misc_RNA from 1 species
UACCAACGGCAAAUACAAAUGCAGGUGUGGAAGAUCUUACGCUACUGAUGGAAAUUUGCAAAUAAAGAAUUACUCUAUUCCAAUCAACUGCCAACCAACAUAAGGAGAAAAUGCAAGGAAACCCUGAGAUGUUGC